GUUCUGUUUUUCUGUAGCGAUUACCGAUUUAUCAGCAAAUACCGCGAUAAAACUUUGUUUUUUUUUAUUUUUAAAUAUGAUAAUGUGUAGGUAGCAAAGGGAAAUAAUACAUUUUUCGUUAGAUUCAUUGCAUAAAACUUACGAAAUUUAAAUUUUAUCGCAGUAUUUGCCGAUAAAUCGGUAAUCGCUACAGAAAAACAGAAC